UUAAAAACCUAUAUAUAUCCUUGGACUUUAAUCAAGCAAGAAAAUGCACUCUCACAAUUAGCUACUCCAAACUCUGUUAAAAUGGCUCACAAGUUAGCUUUCUUUUUUUGUGUUCUCCUUGUGGCACUAACUGUUCAUUCAAACACUGGGGCGAUGGCUAUGCGAAACCUACCUUUAGAAGCAGAAGAGGUGAUUGAGCAAAUUCUAGUGCCAGAUCUUACUAAUAAAAAAGGAUGUUACAACCUCUGCAAAUCUGAUGCAAAUUGCAAUAACAGAGGUUCAGAGUGUAGGCAAUGUCGAACGGCGCAUAAUCAUUAUGAUAUUACAAUGAGAUGCUAUCCCAGGAUUUGAAUCUCAUAUGAUAAAAAUGAUUUUACACAAAUAGCCGGCCAAAUUCAUAAAUGUGUUUUUUGUGGUCUUUUUAUUUUUACUUGCUCCGUUUUAAGCUUUGUGUCAUUUGUAAGGUAAAAAAUACAAGUGACUAUCUAUUUUUUGUCCGAAUAAAUAUGUGUUUUCGUAUGAGUAUGUUGUAUUUUAUUUAUUUA